rnacentral:misc_RNA from 1 species
GCGCCCCCCAUCCCCCUCCGUGUCCGAUUCCCCAGCCGAGUCAUCUGACGGGUUCCCGCCCGAGACGGCUAACGGCAGGAAGCCACAGGGGAGUGGGACGCGGGAGGUGAUUCGUGCUAUAAUGCGAUUCGGGGAGGUUUACGAGCGAGUGGAGAGCUUGAAGCUGCAGCACGCGAUGGAGAUGGAGGAGCAGAGGUUGGGAUUCGAGCGGGAGCUUGCAGAGCAGAGGAUGCAGUUCUUCAUGAAGACGCACAUGGAGUUGUCCCGGAGCAAGCAUCGGGCCCGAGUGGGGAGCUCGAGUAGUAAGAGGAAGAGGGUGUCUGGUGGUGGUGCCGG